UACGAAGGGGGCUAGCGUUGUUCGGAAUUACUGGGCGUAAAGCGCACGUAGGCGGAUACUUAAGUCAGGGGUGAAAUCCCGGGGCUCAACCCCGGAACUGCCUUUGAUACUGGGUAUCUCGAGUCCGGAAGAGGUGAGUGGAAUUCCGAGUGUAGAGGUGAAAUUCGUAGAUAUUCGGAGGAACACCAGUGGCGAAGGCGGCUCACUGGCCCGAUACUGACGCUGAGGCACGAAAGCGUGGGAGCAAACAGG
rnacentral:rRNA from 1 species